rnacentral:rRNA from 1 species
UACAGAGGGGGCAAGCGUUGUUCGGAAUUACUGGGCGUAAAGGGCGCGUAGGCGGCCUGCUAAGUCGAACGUGAAAUCCCUGGGCUCAACCCAGGAACUGCGUCCGAUACUGGUUGGCUUGAAUCCGGGAGAGGGACGUGGAAUUCCAGGUGUAGCGGUGAAAUGCGUAGAUAUCUGGAGGAACACCGGUGGCGAAGGCGGCAUCCUGGACCAAUUCUGACGCUGAGUGAGCGAAAGCCAGGGGAGCAAACGGG